GGGUCAUACUACUUYCCMGGAAGUUCGUCCAGUUMCAUUGACGUACAGAAAGAUCCGAAAACAGACACAAGGUAUUCUAUUACUGUGAGUGCAUGGAUCUACUACCAAGGAACACCGGGUCCACUCUUGCACUACGACACGGAAGCAUCUUCUUGGGCAUUUAAUUUCUAUGUAUUAGAUGGUCCACAGUUAUACAUAAAUUUCGUAAAAAGGGAUCUUGACGCUAGUUCACCUGUCAUAAGGGAAACCAUUUCGCUAUUAAACAGUUGGAAGUACUCUGCCUAUACAUACGACUACAACACAGGGAUCCAAAAGCUAUAUGUUGACGGAGUUCUGAUUAAGAGCAAGGACAUUGGCAAACAUGAGAUAGCUACACAAUUCAAGAUCAAAAUAGGAGGACAGAAAAAUGGAGAAUCAAGGUCUUUCAAGGGAAGGAUCUCAUGUAUUCAAAUAUACGAACAAGCUUUGACCAGAGACAAGAUUCUGGAGGCAAAAAAGUACUGCAGCA